GUCCCGCCACCCCGUGAGCCAUCGGCACGUGGGGAUGGGGCGCCGCCGGCUCAGGGCGAGGCGUCGGCACGUGGGGAUGGGGUGCCACCAACCCAGGACGAGCUAUCGGCGCGUGGGGAUGGAGUCCCACCACCUCAAGUUGAGUCAUUGGCACGUGGGGAUGGAGUCCCACCACCCCGAGAUGGACCGUCGGCACAUGGGGUUGGGGUCCCACCACCCCAAGUUGAGCUAUCGGCGCGUGGGGUUGGGGUCCCACCACCCCAUGAACCAUCGACACGUCAGGAUCGGGUGCCACCAACCCAGGAUGAGCCAUCGGCACGUGGGGAUGGAGUCCCACCACCCCAAGAUGAACUAUGGGUAGGUGGGGAUGAGGUGCCACCACCCCGAGAUGGACCUUUGACACGUGGGCGUGGGGGGCCACCACGCCGACGCGAGCCGUCGGCGCACGGGAACGAGGUGCCGCCGCCCUGGGACGAGCCGUCGGCACGCGGGGACAAGAUCCCGCUGCCCCGGGAGAGGUGGCUGGCCCGCGGGGACGAGGCGUCACCGCACCGGGAUGAGGUGCCGCCGCCGUGGAAGGCGUCGCGGCACAAAGACGAGGUGCCACCAGCACGUGGGGACAAGGUGCCACCAUCCUGGGACGAGCUGCCACCACGCGGGGACAAGCCACCGGCAUCCCGGGAGAAGCCACCGGCGCGCGGGGACGAGUCACCGCACCGGGACGGGCCACCGCUGCGUGGGGACGACAUGCCACCGCGCGGGGACGAGCCGGUGGCCCGUGGUGACGCCGCCGCCGCGGUGGAGAAAUCGCCGGGAAAAGGGGACAAAACGCCCGGGAAAAGCGCUAAAUCCCCCCAAAACGGGAACGGAUCAUGGGAAAAAGGGGCCGAAACGCCCCGAAAUUGGGACAAAUCUUCCCGGAAUUGGGACAAAUCCUCCCGAAAUUGGGAUAGGUCAUUGCGGAGUUGGGAUAAAUUGGGCGGAAAAAGCCAGAAAGCGCCCGGAAACGGAGCUGAAUCGGGCUGGAAUUGGGCUAAAACGCCCGGAAACGGGCAGAAAUUGCGCCGGAGCUGGAACAGGUCGUCCAGGAGUUGGGAGAAAUUGUCCGGGAAAAAUGAGAAAUUAUGCGGAAACGAGGAGAAACGGCCUCAAAACGGGGACGAGUUGUGUAGAAACGGAGAAGAAGGAACCAGAAAUGGCGAUAAAUUGCUUAGAAACGAUGAAUUGAUCAAAAAUGAGGAAAAAACGCCCGUAAAUGGGGACAAAUUGGCUAAACCUGCAAAUAAUUCCCCCGGGAAAACGGAUAAAGCGCUCGGAAACGGGGAGAAAUUGCCCAGAAACGGGGACAAAGCGGCCGGGAACGAGGAGAAACCGCCCCAAAACGACGAGAUGCCCCAAAACGUGAACAAGUUGCUUGGAAACG
rnacentral:lncRNA from 1 species